GAUGAACGCUGGCGGCGUGCCUAAUACAUGCAAGUCGAGCGAACAGACGAGGAGCUUGCUCCUCUGACGUUAGCGGCGGACGGGUGAGUAACACGUGGAUAACCUACCUAUAAGACUGGGAUAACUUCGGGAAACCGGGGCUAAUACCGGAUAAUAUAUUGAACCGCAUGGUUCAAUAGUGAAAGACGGUUUUGCUGUCACUUAUAGAUGGAUCCGCGCCGCAUUAGCUAGUUGGUAAGGUAACGGCUUACCAAGGCAACGAUGCGUAGCCGACCUGAGAGGGCGAUCGGCCACACUGGAACUGAGACACGGUCCAGACUCCUACGGGAGGCAGCAGUAGGGAAUCUUCCGCAAUGGGCGAAAGCCUGACGGAGCAACGCCGCGUGAGUGAUGAAGGUCUUCGGAUCGUAAAACUCUGUUAUUAGGGAAGAACAAAUGUGUAAGUAACUAUGCACGUCUUGACGGUACCUAAUCAGAAAGCCACGGCUAGCUACGUG
rnacentral:rRNA from 1 species